GAGGGCAUAACUCAGUGGUAGAGCGUGUGCUUAGCAUGCACGAGGUCCUGGGUUCAGUCCCCAGUACCUCUA
rnacentral:tRNA from 1 species